CGCAUGGGGUGUGGGAAAGCUUUCGUGGCAUGGGAUGGGGUCGCGUCCUAUCAGCUUGUUGGCGGGGUGAGGGCCCACCAAGGCUUCGACGGGUAGCCGGCCUGAGAGGGCGACCGGCCACAUUGGGACUGAGAUACGGCCCAGACUCCUACGGGAGGCAGCAGUGGGGAAUAUUGCACAAUGGGCGCAAGCCUGAUGCAGCGACGCCGCGUGAGGGAUGGAGGCCUU
rnacentral:rRNA from 1 species